GGCGGACGGGUGAGUAAUAUAUAGAUAACGUGCCUCUUAGUCUGGGAUAGCCAUUGGAAACGAUGAUUAAUACUAGAUACUCCUUCUUAUCACAUGAUAAGUCGGGAAAGUUUUUUCGCUAAGAGAUCGGUCUAUAUCGCAUCAGUUAGUUGGUGGGGUAACGGCCUACCAAGACAAUGACGCGUAGCGGGUUUGAGAGGAUGAUCCGCCACACUGGUACUGAGACACGGACCAGACUCCUACGGGAGGCAGCAGUGAGGAAUAUUGCACAAUGGGGGAAACCCUGAUGCAGCAACGCCGCGUGGAGGAUGACGCAUUUCGGUGUGUAAACUCCUUUUAUGAGUCAAGAAAAUGACGGUAGCUCAUGAAUAAGCACCGGCUAACUCCGUGCCAGCAGCCGCGGUAAUACGGAGGGUGCAAGCGUUACUCGGAAUCACUGGGCGUAAAGGACGCGUAGGCGGGUUAUCAAGUCAGGUGUGAAAUCCUAUGGCUCAACCAUAGAACUGCACUUGAAACUGGUAACCUAGAGUAUGGGAGGGGCAGAUGGAAUUAGUAGUGUAGGGGUAAAAUCCGUAGAUAUUACUAGGAAUACCGAAAGCGAAGGCGAUCUGCUGGAACAUUACUGACGCUAAGGCGUGAAAGCGUGGGGAGCAAACGGGAUUAGAUACCCCGGUAGUCCACGCCCUAAACGAUGAACACUAGUCGUCGGGGAGCUAGUCUCUUCGGUGAUGCACU
rnacentral:rRNA from 1 species